AUCUUUUUCAAUCAUUUCAGACCUUUCAAACCCAUUGUUGAAACAACAUACUACUCCCAUUUUUGCUUGUCAUUUGCAGCUUUUUCUAUGUUCCUUACUCCCAAUAUCCUUAGGUCAUCCUUUAUUCUGUCAAUGUACCUUUGUCUAGGUCACCCUUUGAGUAUCUUUAUGUUUAGUUAUCAUCUUGUUACUUGUUCAAUUAGUUCUUCUAAUCACCAAGCUCAGCCCAACUAAUUCUCAUGUUUUUUUAAAAUCUCAACAGCGCAAGGUUCACUACUAUAUAGCUAUAAAUAUAUAAUUCCAAAUUUUUGUUGUUUAUUAUUAUAUAAUUAUAUGUUAUAUACGCUGUUUAAUAUACAGUAAUUUUCUAUCAAUAAUUUAAAAAAAAUCAUAUUAUUUUACUAUGGGAAAUAAUAAUAUUUAAUUAUUUUUAUGAUUAUGAUAUUAAAUCAUACCUGAUAUUUAUUACAUGACUAAAUAAGUAUAUAAUAAAUAUUCAUAACUU